rnacentral:rRNA from 1 species
CACGUAGGGGACGAGCGUUGUCCGGAUUCAUUGGGCGUAAAGCGCGCGUAGGCGGCUCGGAAAGUCGGUCGUGAAAUGCCGGGGCUCAACCCCGGGACUGCGUCCGAUACUCCCGAGCUGGAGGCAGGUAGGGGAGAUCGGAAUUCCUGGUGUAGCGGUGAAAUGCGCAGAUAUCAGGAGGAACACCGGUGGCGAAGGCGGAUCUCUGGGCCUUGCCUGACGCUGAGGCGCGAAAGCUAGGGGAGCGAACAGGG